rnacentral:rRNA from 1 species
AAUCAACGCUGGCGGCGUGCCUCAGACAUGCAAGUCGAACGAUUAAAGCUCUCUUCGGAGAGUGCAUAAAGUGGCGCACGGGUGAGUAACACGUAAGUAAUCUACCUUCGAGUGGGGAAUAACGUCCGGAAACGGACGCUAAUACCGCAUAAUGCAGCGGCAUCGCAAGAUGACAGUUGUUAAAGAUUUAUCGCUUGAAGAGGAGCUUGCGGCAGAUUAGCUAGUUGGUAAGGUAAUGGCUUACCAAGGCUACGAUCUGUAACCGGUCUAAGAGGACGGUCGGUCACACUGACACUGAAUAACGGGUCAGACUCCUACGGGAGGCAGCGGUCGGGAAUUUUGGGCAAUGGGCGAAAGCCUGACCCAGCAACGCCGCGUGAAGGAUGAAGUAUUUC